rnacentral:lncRNA from 15 species
AUGACCAGUAACUCAGAAUUCGUUUUUGUGAGCUUGAAAGAGAGCAUAGACGGAUGUAACAGCUUCAAAAUCUCAUGGAUCAUUUGCUACACAUCACUGAACUUCAAGGUCACAGUGGAAACAAGGAGAAGAUGGAUGGAGCAGACAAAACGAGAGCAUUUGAACAUUAUGCUUCAUAUGGAAAAGGCUUUUGAAGAGUUGCACUGACACUCCUCCCACACAAGAUUCUCUCAACAUACACACCACACAGCAGAUCUGUGGCUGCCAAAGACUGAGACUUCAGGUACGUUGGUUUGAGCUGAGUUGAUGAGAUGAGUGUGUAUGUGCGCUGUGCAGAUAGAGGAGUGUAAACAGUAAAUCUCUGACAGUCUGACACUGUUUGAACCCAUGAGUCAGUUCAGAAAGCAGAGAGAGAGAGAACGAGACAGUGAUGGCAAUAUAUGGGCCCGAAUUUCACGGUUUGGUACCGUUUAAGGUGACAACAUUUUGAAAUGAUGUACAGUAUGUUAUAUAUGAUAAUGUGGGGUGUGUUCCUGAGUAGUAUUUUUGUCACUGCUCAUGAAGUGAACGACCCUCUACUUGGUGUCAUCUGUAUUUACUCACUUUAAUGAUAUUUAUUAAUGUUUUAAUUGUAUGUACUAUCAUUCUGUGCCAGUUUUGAGUCGAAGGGACAGUUUUCAAAUUGUUGCUUACAGUUAUUUUUCCCUGCAAGUCCUCACCAGAAAAACGACUGUAUUGAUUGGGCAAUUGUGCUUAUUACGACCCAUAUUUAUGUUUAUUGUUAGACAAUGACCUUCAGUGGCUGUAGUAAUUAUGAUGGGAGCUGUAUCAAGAGCGAGAAAGUCUGCAUAGGGAGGGGUGGGUGAGUCAAACAAACGCCAGACUUUCACCCAGGAGACCAGGUUUCAUGUCCUGUGUAAACCAAAAGUCAACAUUGACUUGGUUUUAUGUUUGUAAGAUAACGUUAUGUAUGUGACUGACAUUACUUAUGUCACGUUACUUAUGUAACAUUUGUAUUUUAACCCAAACCAAACUGCAGCUAUUUCACAAUGAUAACCUCGUGUUUAACGUCAAUUGAUUUACCUACUGUUUUGGCAACGACCUAUUCUGAAGAGCACUAUAAGGGCAAAU